ensembl:ncRNA lncRNA:CR44103 long non-coding RNA:CR44103
AUACACUACUCCCCAGGAUCAAAUCACUCAUCCCAGCAUCCACAUCAUCCCAAAACUCUACUGCAGCCGCCAGAUAACCAACAACAUUAGCUGCGCAGCUUGCAGCAAUUGCUCAACGGUCACCAAUGACACCGUGUUGGGCGGGAGUCUCCAGCGGGUUACGGUUGGUCCUUGUGUCGAUGUGGGGACUCCGGACUUCUUCCAGAAGACACAACAACUGCUCAAGGUCAUACUCCUAGACUCACGGAU